CCGUGGCUAUCUCGGAUCCCGCCCUCCCCGGAGCCACAGAACCUCGGCACCCUGAGGGUGCGAAGGACCUGCGGCAUCCUCGGGUCCAGCCUGUGCCCGAUCGCCACCUGGUCACCCAGCACAGAGCACUGAGUGCCACGUCCAGUCGUCCCUUAGACGUCGUGUCUUCAGGGAUGGAGACUCCGCCACUGCCCUGGCCAGCCCCUUCCAACGCCUGACCGCCCUUCGGGGAAGAAAUUCUUACUAAUAUCCAACCGAAACUUCCCCCUGGCACAGCUUGGUGCCGUUCCCUCCUGUCCCGUCCCUGUUCCCCGGGAGCAGAGCCCGACUCCUCCAGGCUGCCCCCUCCUGUCAGGAGCUGUGCAGAGCCAGGAGGUCCCCCCUGAGCCUCCUCCAGGCUGAGCCCCUUCCCAGCUCCCUCAGGCGCUCCUGGUGCUCCUGCCCCUGCCACAGCUCCCUUCUCUUCUCUGGAGCCUCGGGAUAAACGUCCCGCUGCCCUCGGGACGGACAGAGGGUGCGGAGCUCCCAGAGCGGUUCGGUCCAGCGGCUGCCAGUCACACAAGCGGCUGAUUUUAUUGAGGGAGUGCCGGAACCUGUAGAUUUGCAAGCAAGAACUAAGCAAUAAUCAUCAGUAGGUCUGUGAAAACUCUCUAACCCUGGAACAAGGAGCAUUAAAAAAAAAAAAAAAAAAGGAAUUCUGAAACCUUUAUGAAACCAAAUUCAUCCUCCUUGGAAAGCUCAGAAGGCAGAAGGCUUCUCCGAACUUUGUGCAACUCUUCCGCCACACUAAUACAGGAUUUGUGCAAGGUUACAGACAUUGGAGAAGAAAUAUUACAAAAAAUUUUGAUUUUCUGGGCAUUUAAAGAUGUAUUUAAAGAAUCCCUGAGGAAAAUAGCGGGCGACAAACAUGCGUGACCGCAUAUAUUUAGUAUUUCAGUGUCUGGUUUCCCCUGGUUAACCCCGAGCCCGGGCGUCCCGGGAGGUCUGCGGGGCUCCCUCCGGCACAGCCGCCCGGCCGCUCCCCUCGGGCUGGACCUGCUGCAGCGCUCAGGGCUCAGCAUGAUACCUUUCCCUUCCUUGGGCCUUCCCCGAGCCCCCUCUCGUGGCUGCGCGUCCGUGCCGUCCCGCUGAGCAUCAGCAGCUCAAGUUCUCGGUGGAAGGGGCUGCCCCGCUCCGUCAGGUUGUUCUGCGGCACUCAGCUGCCGAACGGGGGAUUUGCCUCAAAUUGUUCACUGGAGGAAUCUCAGGACGGCUACGCUGCUGAAUGAUCAGUGACAAGUCCGCCAGAGUAGAUGGCAUUUGCUCGUUAGCCUUAAGACAACUCCAGCAGUUUUCAGCCAGGUUCCAGGGGAACCCCCCAGGAGCUGUGGAGCCGAGUAUCUGAUGUCCCCAGCGUGCAAAAUAUCAUGACCUACUCUAAUGAACACUCGGGAGCCACAGGGCUGUUCAAUAUUCGUAGAAAUGCCAGAUAACGGUUGACAUGACAAUAUAAAAUCACAAACAUGGAGUUUGGAAUUGCUACAACAGAAAUAGUUCAGAUCAGAGCAGCGAGGACAAGGGCUUCAGUGACAGAGUUCUGUGUGGAGCUCCGGUCAGUGGGCAGUAAGGAGAGUGGCUCUUGAGGUGGUGUCCGUUCCGCUGUAAAAGGAGGAGUCAGCAAGGACUCUUUUUGAUAGAUUCCUCGGACAAAAAUAAAGUGCAAAUGCAACAAUACUAUAUCUGAGAACCGUUUAUUGAUAAAAAAGGGGAAACAGGAGCACAGGGAGGAACAGGCGAGGCGGAGAAGGGGCCAAGCGGACCCUACGGGAGCGACCCAAGGAAACGGCUGUCGGUGUGUCGCAGCUGCUGCUGCUGCUGCCAUGUGCUACACAGCCCAGGUUUGGUGGGCAUUUGCCCUACGGGCCAGGCAGUGGAGGCCCCACUCAGCCCGAUCAUGGAGGCUUUUUCUGCUCUGAUUGCCUCCAGGUGAAGCCUUCCUGGGGACAGGGCUGUCAGCACAUCCGCAACCCCUAUAAGAAUAUAUCAGAUGCUGAGGCAUAAAUAAAAAUCAGAUUGGUCCCUCUCAGGAACUUGACCCUGGCGUAGUUGUGGAGAUUUCUGCCUCUUCCCAGGACUCCUGGACGUCGGAGUGAGCUACCAAAUGCCAAGAAGUCCUGCACAGCCACAUCUCUGGAGAACUGGCUGUGACCCACACCAACAGCCAUCCCCAAAGCCCUGCAGUCUGUGCCAUUGUUUCUGGUUUUUGUGAAAGAUACAGCACAUUGGAGUCAAGCUGUCAUGUCCAUACGAAGACAAGAUUAUAUAACUUCACAGACAUUUGGGGCAGUUUCCCAGCCUCUAGGUCCAAGUUUGCUAUAAACACAACUUGAAGCAAAAGGAAUUGCCUUAAAUGCCAAGCUGGGGCUGUCCCCAACAACUGAUGUGAAGAUUCCUAGAAAUCUUUUGGAAUCCUCUCCUGGCUUGGUGUGAGGAGACUAGAAAUGAGACCAGGAGAGGUCCCCCUUUCCCCGUGGCAUUCCAUGACUGACUGAACUGUCCAAGAACUCCCAGGAAAUCAGGCAAACAUGCUCAUUGGAGUUUCAUAGAACACUUCCCAAUAACAUGUAUCAAUAAUACAUCUUCUACAAUUACAGAGUCUAAUGUCAAUUGCUGAAUUUUACAGCUCAGCCUUAAUCUAUUAAUCUUAACACCUAUUUUUGAACAAGCUCAAACAAUUUUAUUGGGAACUUGAACAGAAAGCAAACUUCUCCUUCUUGAACAAACUUUACCAACUUAUCUAUCUACAGAAAACAGCAAAUCUUUUAACAAUCAAAAGCUAAACCCAAUACAAACUAAAACUAUUUAACAUCCAACAGUUCCUAGUCUGAAAACCCCAAAAUGUGGGGUUUCCUUCCUUAGGCCAGAUGCAGUCUUUUCUUUGGAACUGCUUCUUGUUGAUCAUCAGCAGACUCCACUGGUUGAGGUCUCUGCCAAAUAGAGAAAAGAAAAAAAGGAAAUUAUCCUGUUGAAAGAAUACUUAGAAAGGUGCAAUUUUUGUACACCCAAAUGCCAUCUCUUCUGUCCAUGCCCCAGCCAGACCAGCCAGUGGGCAGGGCAAGAGUUAAGGAGUGAGCCCAGUUCAGGGAUGCCAAAGAUGCAAGACCAGACUGUGCCCCCAGGUCAGCAGCAGACUCCAGAGCCAGCCCAUCUUUUCUUCAGGCUUCCCCCCCAGCAGUCAGGGUGUCCCUGGGCAGGGCUUGGGUGACUUGAGCCCUCACUAAGCCCCCCUGCAAGCCCCAGGCUGUUGCUGCCUGUGGUGCCCCUGGUGUGACGGCUCCGCUGUCCCUGGCUAGGGCAG